rnacentral:rRNA from 1 species
UACGUAGGGGGCAAGCGUUGUCCGGAAUCAUUGGGCGUAAAGAGCGUGUAGGCGGCCCGGUAAGUCCGCUGUGAAAGUCCAGGGCUCAACCCUGGGAUGCCGGUGGAUACUGUCGGGCUCGAGUCCGGAAGAGGAGUGUGGAAUUCCUGGUGUAGCGGUGAAAUGCGCAGAUAUCAGGAAGAACACCCGUGGCGAAGGCGGCUCUCUGGGACGGUACUGACGCUGAGACGCGAAAGCUAGGGGAGCAAACGGG